GAUGAACGCUGGCGGCGUGCCUAAUACAUGCAAGUCGAGCGAACGGACGAGAAGCUUGCUUCUCUGAUGUUAGCGGCGGACGGGUGAGUAACACGUGGAUAACCUACCUAUAAGACUGGGAUAACUUCGGGAAACCGGAGCUAAUACCGGAUAAUAUUUUGAACCGCAUGGUUCAAAAGUGAAAGACGGUCUUGCUGACACUUAUAGAUGGAUCCGCGCUGCAUUAGCUAGUUGGUAAGGUAACGGCUUACCAAGGCAACGAUGCAUAGCCGACCUGAGAGGGUGAUCGGCCACACUGGAACUGAGACACGGUCCAGACUCAGACGGGAGGCAGCAGUAGGGAAUCUUCCGCAAUGGGCGAAAGCCUGACGGAGCAACGCCGCGUGAGUGAUGAAGGUCUUCGGAUCGUAAAACUCUGUUAUUAGGGAAGAACAUAUGUGUAAGUAACUGUGCACAUCUUGACGGUACCUAAUCAGAAAGCCACGGCUAACUACGU
rnacentral:rRNA from 1 species